GCCCCUGCUGUGUCCCCAGGGCCCAGAGCAGAGCUGGGCUUCGAGUCUGAUCAGGGACUAUGUGUGUGGAGUGGAUGGUGCUUGCUUCUUCUGGGGAGAGAGAGACCUGGGCCAGAGGGACAAGGGGACCUGGUGUGACCGGUUUUCCUUCCCUCGGGAGAGGAUCUGAGCGAGUGGACACAGGAUGGAGCUGUGAGGUGGCCUCUAAUAUUGCCAACAUCGACCAGAUCAGACCCAGGGAGAGAGAGAAUUGCUGAGAUACCUUGGCACCUCCGUGGCAGAGAAGUUUGUCAGCCCAGGUCUUCCCACCUACACGGACUGUGCGUUCAUCUGCCACGUAAUUCUUCCUGUCCGAAGAACUGGUUAAACACUCUUGAAGUUUAUUCUGGUCUGCAGCCUUUCUGCCUGAGUGUGGAGCUGGAAUUGUGAGAGAGUUUCGUGGAUUUAGACAUGACCUAAGACUUAGAGGGGCCACGAGCAGGGACCGCUCAUCCCAGUGCUCUGGGGCCUCCAGUCUGCAGAGGCGGCGCCUCUGAGCUGAGCAGGGCAAGCCUGGUGUGUCCCUCAUGGUCAACGUGCCCUCUGUCAACUGGGACAAUAUGAGGACUGCAGCCCAGGAGACGGCCCCUCAGAGAGCUCUGAGAAACUGCCUCGAAGAGGCGGGGGGAGAAAGGUCAGCAUAUGUGUGAUUUCGGCUAAGGGGAAAGACAUGCAACCAAGCACAUAUCUUUCCAGAAGAUUUCUACCAGUCUUGUGACGGCUUUGCUAGGCACAAGGAACAAUCAUCACCACGAAGAAUUUUAGUGCUUUUCUAGAUAUGGGAACGUACGAGAAUUGGGCUCAUAAAAUCAGCUCCUGAGAACGUCUUAACUGUCUGAAGACCUAUCCUGCCAGUUCCCCCACCCUGCUCCCAGCACAGAGGCCUCAUUUCUGCUCUUCACCCUGAACGCCUUUCAUCUGGUGUCGACGGUCAGCAGCUGCAGCCGCACUUGGUUUAAUCCUUGUAGAAGUCGGUGGCAGGUGCCCUUGGCAAGUGCUAGUUUGUAGCUGACACCUCUGAAGUGGGCAGUGGCAGCCCUGAUGGACUUGGAGCCUCCUUGAGGGGUGAGAUGGGGGCAGAGGUCAAAGGGGAAAGGAGAGAGGUUAGAAGCUGCUGUGGCUUUGAAGCAGAGGGGAAGAGUUGAGCCGAGGACUGGGCUCAUCUAGAUGCUGGAAGUUCUCGGGUCACGGUUCACGAUUGCUGAAGCCUGGCUUGAAGGAUUCUGAGCAUAGCUUCCCUAGCAUUUGUGCAACUGUAUGAUAGUUUGAAUAGUCUUUGGCAUUGCCCUUCUUUGGGAUUGGACACUGACACUGAUCAAUCCAAUGAAAACUGACCAUUUCC